rnacentral:rRNA from 1 species
CCUACGGGUGACAGCAGUGAGGAAUAUUGGUCAAUGGGCGCGAGCCUGAACCAGCCAAGUAGCGUGAAGGAUGACUGCCCUACGGGUUGUAAACUUCUUUUAUAAAGGAAUAAAGUGAGGCACGUGUGCCUUUUUGUAUGUACUUUAUGAAUAAGGAUCGGCUAACUCCGGGACAGCAGCCGCGGUAAUACGGAGGAUCCGAGGGUUAUCCGGUUUUAAUGGGUUUAAAGGGAGCGUAGAUGGGUUGUUAAGUCAGUUGUGAAAGUUUGCGGCUCAACCGGAAAAUUGCAAUUGAUACUGGCAGUCUUGAGUACAGUAGAGGUAGGCGGAAUUCGUGGUGUAGCGGUGAAAUGCGUAGAUAUAACGAAGAACUCCGAUUGCGAAGGCAGCUUACUAAGCUGCCACUGACAUUGAUGCUCGAAAGUGUGGGUAUCAAACAGGAUUAGAUACCCGGGUAGUC